GAAAGCAGGCAGGAUUACCACCCAGUGGACUCGGCCUUCUGUAGCCUACAGUGCCACACGAGCCCUGAGGCAUGGACUUGUGCCAUCUCCUUUAAAGAAAAAUUAACUUGACAUGGAUUAAACAGUUCAACGUGCCGUCUGCGUUUCCUCAGCCUUCUGUUCCAUCAGUAAUUAGGUGGAAGCCACUCAGCCUCUGGGAACCUGGCCAUCACUGCUUCCUUGAGUAGCUGAGGCUUCUGGCUGACCCACCUGCUCCAGGUGCACCCUUGCAGAGGUGGCUGGUUGCUCCUUGAGCUGGCUUGGCCUUGCCUGGCAUGCACAGGCCCCAGCUACUUACACCCUACUCCGAAUUAGCUUGUCCCAAAGUCUGAGUCUGGCCAGGACCACAGAAGGCCGAGUCCCAUGGGUGGUAAUCCUGCCUGCUUUCUGCACUUGAACAUGAAGUCCUCCACAACAUGGCCUGUGGUCUGCCUCUUGGCAACCACGAAGCGUGUGCUUACAUAGGAGCCCUGAGACGUGGACUGGAACCCCAAAGGCAGCACAUACCCUGCUCCUCAACCUGCUGCUCGUUUCCUCUAUAUGGUUCUAUUUGUAGCACGGUUGUUGCACUGAGGCUUGUGCAUGCCAGGCUCCAGCCACUUACACGCUGCUCUGAAUCAGCUUGUCCCAAAGUCUAAGUCUGGCCAGG
rnacentral:lncRNA from 1 species